rnacentral:rRNA from 1 species
UCGUCAGCUUACCCUGUGAAGGUCCAAUAGUAAGCAAAAUGAGUUCAACCCAAAACGUCAGGUCGAGGUGUAGCGUACGAGGUGGGAAGAAAUGGGCUACAUUUUCUACCGCAGAAUAAUACGAAUAAUGCCCUGAAACUGGCAUCUGAAGGAGGAUUUAGCAGUAAAAAGUAAAUAGAGUGUACUUUUGAAUUAGGCUCUGAGGCGCGCACACACCGCCCGUCACUCUCCCCACCACUACCAACAACCAUUUCUAAUAUUUUAUAUAAUAAUACGGGGAGGCAAGUC